UUAGCGAUAUAUUUCCAGCUUUUUAUUUUUUAUUUUAAGGAUGAAGAAACAGCUUUAAGUUGGUUGCCUAAAGUCACGCAGGUAAUUGAUGCAGUAUGGCCAGAACCCAUACUAGGCUUAAGGGACAGUGUACCAUAAACUCGUAGAGGUCCUUUAAACAGAUAGAAACGCUGUGCUCCAGGCAGAUGCCAUAACAAACACUGGCUCUAGAUCUACCAUGGGUUAUAUGGGUCCUUAGUUAAGAUUAGAUAUGGAGUCACAGUGUGCCAGAAUUUCAGGGAGAGAGGAAAGUGGAAGGGCUUUCCACUAAGCCUUUUGAACUACUAGGUACCCCUCGUUUUACAUCUGGUUAUCUCAUUUAAAUCUAUGACGUUUUAAAAUACUUAUUACCAUUUAAGACAUGAGAAAAAUUAAGUUUAGAAACGGCUAGAUAGCUCACGCUAGAAAGGAAGGACUCCAAAUUUUAACCAAGGGCAGAUGUGCAUGGAGGCCAAGUCAUUUCCUUCCCAUGCUCUCAUACUGACCCAACAAACCCAUUCUGCACGUGAGAAAACUGAGGCCCGGAGGAGGGAAUUCACACACGUUUGAAGCCAAGCUGGGGCCAGAAAGUAGAUCGGCUGAUCUCCAAACCUCCACGUCAAAGGUCUUCCCAGGAGGACAUAUGCCUUCAAGGAUUUUACAAUGUAUACCACCCUACAAGUGAUGGGAGAGAGGGGAAAAAAGCAACCGACUAAGGAGAAAAGCAAGGAGCAGAAAAAGGAGCAAAAGAGGAGCUGUCAGAACGGUGUGAGGAGAGUGGGAAAGGAGCCGCCUCCUUUUGCCUCUCUUCCUACUUAUUAACAAAACAGAACGACUAUCCAACGUAUUUCAGGGAGCUAAGUCUUAGCCAGCUUCAGCUGUGUUUUAACCCUUAGCUAAAUAUAGACAAGGCUAAGGCAGGCCAGGUGUACACUUCAGGAAGACGUGGAAAUUCCCAGGGCGGACCAAAACUUGAGCUGUUCCGGCGGUAGUGAUUUGAGGUCAGUUUGAAAGAGAAGUUGAGAAAGCGGCCGAGGGGCGAAUUUGGCUGCACUACACGCUCG
rnacentral:lncRNA from 1 species